AAGUACGGCCGCAAGGCUAAAACUCAAAGGAAUAGACGGGGACUUGCACAAGCAGUGGAUUAUGUGGUUUAAUUCGAUGGUAAACGAAGAACCUUACCAAGGUUAGAAAUCCUAGUGAAAGCUCGCAGAAACGCGAGGCCUCGCAAGACUCUAGGACAGGUGAUGCAUGGCCGUCGUCAGUUCGUGGUUUGAAUUGUUCCCUUAAGUGGGGUAACGAACGCAACCCUUGUUGUGUGUUAUAAGUGUCACACGAUACUGCCCCGAACUUUGAGCACAAGCUAAAGUUCUAGUUAAAAGUUUUUAAAGUUCAUGAAGUAUAAAGUAAAUGCAUUUUGUAUUCAACUUUAUAAAUUUCUACUUUUUACUUUAUAACUUGAACUUUGUUUGGGAAUUGCUAGUAAUCACAGGUCAGCUAAACUGUGGUGAAUACGUUCUCAAGUCUUGUACUCACCGCCCGUCAAGUCAAGGGAGCCGGGAGUACCCGAAAUCUCUACAUAAGUGGGGCUUAAGGUAAGCUCGGUGACAGGGACUAAGUCGUAACAAGGCACGGCUAGCGGAAGCUGGUCGUGGAAUAAUUCAAUU
rnacentral:ncRNA from 1 species